AGAGUUUGAUCAUGGCUCAGAAUCAACGCUGGCGGCGUGCCUAACACAUGCAAGUCGAACGCGAAAGUGGAGCAAUCCAUGAGUAGAGUGGCAAACGGGUGAGUAACGCGUGGGCGACCUACCUUCGAGCGGGGGAUAACCUUCCGAAAGGAGGGCUAAUACCGCAUGACAUCCCGUGUUUAGAUACACGGAGAUCAAAGCCGGGGAUCGUAAGACCUGGCACUUGAAGAGGGGCCCGCGUCCGAUUAGCUAGUUGGUGAGGUAACGGCUCACCAAGGCUCCGAUCGGUAUCCGGCCUGAGAGGGCGGACGGACACACUGGAACUGAGACACGGUCCAGACUCCUACGGGAGGCAGCAGUGGGGAAUUGUUCACAAUGGGCGCAAGCCUGAUGACGCAACGCCGCGUGGAGGAUGAAGACCUUCGGGUCGUAAACUCCUUUCGACCGAGAUGAAUUCCUUGCGACCUAACACGUCGCGAGGGUGACAGUAUCGAGGGAAGAAGCCCCGGCUAACUCUGUGCCAGCAGCCGCGGUAAUACAGGGGGGGCAAGCGUUGUUCGGAAUUACUGGGCGUAAAGGGUUUGUAGGUGGCUUGUUAAGUCAGACGUGAAAUCCCUCAGCUUAACUGGGGAACUGCGUCUGAUACUGAUGAGCUUGAGUGCAGGAGAGGAACGCGGAAUUCCAGGUGUAGCGGUGAAAU
rnacentral:rRNA from 1 species